AGCAGUAGCCGCGGUAAUACGAAGGGGGCUAGCGUUGCUCGGAAUGACUGGGCGUAAAGGGCGCGUAGGCGGUUUUCCAAGUUAGAUGUGAAAUUCCUGGGCUCAACCUGGGGACUGCAUUUGAUACUGGGAGGCUUGAGUAUGGAAGAGGGUCGUGGAAUUCCCAGUGUAGAGGUGAAAUUCGUAGAUAUUGGGAAGAACACCGGUGGCGAAGGCGGCGACCUGGUCCAUAACUGACGCUGAGGCGCGAAAGCGUGGGGAGCAAACAGGAUUAGAUACCCGGGUAGUCCCUGUCUCUUAUAC
rnacentral:rRNA from 1 species